GAUGAACGCUGGCGGCGUGCCUAACACAUGCAAGUCGAACGGAAAGGCUCCUGCUUGCCGGGGUACUCGAGUGGCGAACGGGUGUGUAACACGUGGGUGAUCUGCCCUGCACUUCGGGAUAUGCCUGGGAAACUGGGGCUAAUACCGGAUAGGACAAUGGGUAGGAUGCGGUUGUGGAAAGUUUUUCGGUGUGGGAUGGGCUCGCGGCCUAUCGGCUGGUUGGUGGGGUAAUGGCUAACCAAGCGGCCGACGGGUAGCCGGCCUUGGAGGGGAUACGGCCACAAUGGUCCUGCGGGACGCCGCAGUCGGCUACGGUAGGCAGCGGGGGGGAACAUUGCGCAGUGGGCGCAAGCCUGAUGCGAAGGCGCCGCGUGGGGGAAGCCCUCCUACUGGUUAUGAACUCCUUUCGCUGGGGACGAGGCGCAAGUGACGGUACCUGGAGAAGAAGCACCGGCUAACUACGUG
rnacentral:rRNA from 1 species